rnacentral:rRNA from 1 species
UUAAUAAGAUCUUUAAAAAAAAUUAUGCUGUUAUCCCUAAGGUAAUUAAUUUUAUUAAUUUAUAAAAAAGAUAUUUUAAUUCAAUAAUUAUUGUUAAUUUUUAUAAAAAUUUAUAAAAUUUUAUAAUUACCCCAAUUAAAUUUAUAUUAAAUUUAUUAAUUAAAUAAUUUAAUUAAUAAUAAAAUAAUUAAAUUAAAUUCUAUAGGGUCUUGUCGUCUUUUAUAAUUAUUUAAGUUUUUUUACUUAAAUAAAAAUUUAAAUAUUUAUUUAAUUGAAAUAGUUUAUAUUUUAUUUAAUCAUUUAUACUAGUUUUUAAUUAAAAAACAAAUUAUUAUGCUACCUUUGUACAGUUA